UACAGAGGUGGCAAGCGUUGUUCGGAAUUACUGGGCGUAAAGGGCGCGUAGGCGGCCUACUAAGUCAGACGUGAAAUCCCCCGGCUUAACCUGGGAACUGCGUCUGAUACUGGAAGGCUUGAGGAUGGGAGAGGGAUGUAGAAUUCCAGGUGUAGCGGUGAAAUGCGUAGAUAUCUGGAGGAAUACCAGUGGCGAAGGCGGCCUUCUGGACGGAUACUGACGCUGAGGCGCGAAAGCCAGGGGAGCAAACGGG
rnacentral:rRNA from 1 species